GAGCUGGGGUGCUACAAAUAGAGUACGCUAGUUAAGCUCCAUCGGAUAAGAGAAAAAAAAACUAAGCUAAGAAAGCUUGAUAGGAUAUCAAAAUGUCAUGUUCCUCUCUUCCGUUUCAGAAAAAGAGAACCCAAUUCCCUGUUCCUCUCUUUCGUUUCCCUUCUUGCUCAAAGCCUGUUCUAGUCUCGCCAAUCAUUGAAAAGGUAAAGAAAUUCAUUGCCAUGCUUUUAAAAAUGGGUUUCAUUCGGAUAUAUAUAUUUGCGCAAAAUUCGUUAAUUCAUUUUUAUGGGUCUAAUGGUAGAGUAGAUAUGGCUAAUUAUGUUUUUGAACAAAUGGGUUAUAGAGAUAUUGCAACUUGGACUAAUUUAGUUACUUCUUAUGUUAGUUUUCAUCCGAUUGAAUUGGCACGGCGGGUGUUUGAUUAAAUGCCCAGUAGAAGUGUUAUUUCUUAUAGUGCUAUGAUUGCGGGUUAUGUUUGAAGGAACAAAUUUAUGGAAGCAUUGGAGUUGUUUGGGGUGUAUGAAGAUUGAUUUUGGGAUUGAACCUGCCUGUUGGGUCAUAAUAUUUCAUAUUGGGCCGAGUGGGUUGGGCCCAUUUAUUUGAUUAAUCUAGCAGGUCAUUUCAUAUUGGGCUCGGUCAGUUGGGUCAACUUUGUUGGAUCUUUAGGAUAUUGGGUCUAUUCAUUGAACCAACCCACUAGAUAUUUUAAUAUCUACAUCUUUGACUUGUAAUGAUGAAAAGGCAUAACAGAUGACUAAGAUACGCCAUGCAUUAAUGUGGAUGGGAUUAUAGCCGGCCGGCGGCAUAAACAGUGUAGGAAAAAGGUGAUAGCCUGCAUGCAGUCGGCAGAGAUCACCGAGGAGUGGGGGGCUGUGUCAGACAGUAGUUGGUGGCAUGGUAAACCGGGUUAGAGAUC
rnacentral:lncRNA from 1 species